AUGGGUGUGAUAUUUUUGCAAUGAGCCUCGCUCUCGUUUGGACCAUGUUUGGAGUUUCCACAAUGCUCCUGCAUCCAACCUCACGUAGAGCUCAUGGCAGGGGAAGACUUACUGCCCUCAUUUUACAGCCGGAAGUCUGAGCAGGAGGGUGACGGCGAGGAUGUCUCCAUGGACGGGCUGCCCCCUCCUCUCCCAGUCAAGGCCCAGGUCGAAAGGGCGGAUGACUUGGUGGACACGGAAGGCGAUGCUGUGCGUGGAGGUGCCUUAACAAACAACUUCAGGCUGAAGCCAAAGUCUGGGUCUUAAUCAGUCUAUGUGAGACCCAUUCCACUGAGGACACCAGGGCAAGCCUCCAACCCAGCGGUUCUCAACCUGUGGGUCGUGACCCUUUUGGAGGUCGAACAACCCUUUCACAGGGGUCGCCUA